rnacentral:rRNA from 1 species
GCAAGUCGAACGAGAUUUUUUAAACUGACGCUUCGGUUGAUUUUUAAAAAUGAGAGUGGCAAACGGGUGCGUAACACGUGAACAACCUGCCCUAAAGUCUGGGAUAGCUCGAGGAAACUCGAAUUAAUACCGGAUGUGGUUAGAAAGCUCAUGCUUUCGCUACUAAAGCUUGUAAUGGCGCUUUAGGAGGGGUUCGCGGCCUAUCAGCUUGUUGGGGAGGUAAAGGCUCACCAAGGCUUACGGGUAGCCGACCUGAGAGGGUGAUC